UACGUAGGGCGCAAGCGUUGUCCGGAAUUAUUGGGCGUAAAGAGCUCGUAGGCGGUUUGUUGCGUCGGCUGUGAAAUCCCGAGGCUCAACCUCGGGUCUGCAGUCGAUACGAGCAAACUAGAGUGUUGCAGGGGAGACUGGAAUUCCUGGUGUAGCGGUGAAAUGCGCAGAUAUCAGGAGGAACACCAGCGGCGAAGGCGGCGCUCUGGGCCGGUACUGACGCUGAGGAGCGAAAGCGUGGGGAUCAAACAGG
rnacentral:rRNA from 1 species